rnacentral:rRNA from 1 species
AUUGAACGCUGGCGGCAGGCCUAACACAUGCAAGUCGAGCGGAGCGGCGGACGGGUGAGUAAUGCCUAGGAAUCUGCCUGGUAGUGGGGGAUAACGUACGGAAACGGGCGCUAAUACCGCACACUUACAGAUGAGCCAAGGUCGGAUUAGCUAGGUGGUGGGGUAAAGGCCUACCAAGUAGCAGAUCCGUAACUGGUCUGAGAGGGUGAUCAGUCACAUUGGAACUGAGACACGGUCCAGGCUCCUACGGGAGGCAGCAGUGGGGGAUAUUGGACAAUGGGCGAAAGCCUGAUCCAGCCGUGCCGCGUGUGUGAAGAAGGUCUUCGGAUUGUAAAGCACUUUAAGUUGGGAGGCGUUACCAACAGAAUAAGCACCGGCUAACUUCGUGCCAGCAGCCGCGGUAAUUC